AUGACCGUGUCGCUCCUGACCGGCACCGGGAAGUUCAACAUCAGCGACUUCGUGCCGGCGCUGUCGUGGCUAGACCUGCAGGGAGUGCAGGCCAAGCUGCGCCGAGUGCACCGCCAGUUCGACGGGCUCAACACGAAGCUGCUGGUGCCUGGUGGAGCACGCGGCAACGGACGAAGAGCCUGGGAGGAGGGCCGGUUGGACUUCGUGGACAUGCUUCGGUUGGUGGCUUGGAGCAGGCCGGGGCGAGGCGGAAAACGCGAGUGCCGAGCAGAGGACGAAGCAAGGAUGAGCGGCGCGGGAUCGGUCGGACCUCUGGGGGGCGUGUCGCAGGUGGCGGAGGCUGUGGGCGGGGCCGUCCGAAUCGGAUUGGAGGCGAGGCUGCUGGCCGGAUCCGGAGCGGGUCGGCGACUGGGGCAGGACGGCCAGAUCAGACCCAUGGCAGAGGAGCUUCCAUGGCGCCUAUGGGUUCCUCACUGA
rnacentral:rRNA from 1 species